AUUUGGUGUGGAAACAUGUUAGUAGUGUCUGGUAUAUGCGAUAGCGAGGGGAAGCAAAAGACUUUAAGGAGCAGCUACAUUGCUAAGGACAAGUUUGGGGCUCUGUCUGCUGAAGGCAUUGAAUGAAUCAGUAUGAUUCCUAGUCCCAUGGGAGUAAGACUCUGACUAGACAGAGGAGUUACGUGAUCAGUGCCAAUACUGUGCCACAGUGUUAAACCUCCACGCAGGUAUGCAGUGGGAGCUGGGAGAAAAUGUUAGGAAUGAGUCUUCUACCUCAGUCUCCCUCAAAAGAGAAGUACUGAGUGACCAAGGGCAGUAUAGUUUGUAUUGACACCGCAAUAAAUCCUUGAGUUUUAUUCGAAAUAGGAGGAAAAAUACCACGGGGAAUACUAUAAUAUGCUUUUACUGCGUGGAUCCCCUGCAGAUUAUCUGUUGCUCCUAAAUGAGUGAGUGCUUUGCAGGGGAUUUGCCGUAACUUGACAAAGACAGCUCUCAGCAGGAAUGGCCAUGAAGAAACAGGGUCACACUUAAGAACCUCUGAGCAACAGUUACUGAUUUAACACUUGAUAAGUAACUCAGUGGAAAGGAACAGAGAUGGAGGUGGGCAGGGAAGGUUAAAAAACAAGGGAAACCCUUCACAGAACUGUUAUAUCAAAUUCUGUGCAAAGGAACUUUUCUGUGCAAAAGAACUUUUCUGUGCAAGUCUGUUCAUCUAAAGCCCUUACUGUAAGCUGCUUUGUGCCCUGUUUAUUGAGGAAAAAUGGCAUAAAUAUAGUGCAUCUGAGCAGGAUGUGACUAGAAGGGUGCAAUGGGAUUCUGGUAAAGAACCACCAGGACGUUGGCUGCCAUCCUGCUGGUGUGAGGCCAGUGUGGAAAGGCUAUGUCAGGUGAAGGCAGCACUUCCAGGAUCCCCUCACCUGGGAGCCAUUGAGAACCAAUGCUACCUUCAUGGAUAAAUUCUAGACUGGCUAUUGCUGGACAAGAGUUAUCUUUUUAUGCCCCUCUGGCUUUUUAUUUUUAGGCCAACGUGUUUAUAUGCCGUAAAAUGUGUUUGCAGUACUGAAAACUAGGCUUGGGGAGGGAUCUCUAGCACAGCUGUGUCUAAAACCCCUUUUAGGGAACUGGCUCACUCAAUGGCUGCACUUGAGGAUCUUCACAUAUCACCGUAUUGUUGAACAAAGAAGGCAUAUAAAGCAAAGAAGCUCUCACUGGCAUCUCCCUGUGUCGAUGUCUAGAUACUUCUGCAACAGUUGAAGACUUGGGGCUGUAGCUGAGGAGAGUGAGAUCCUGAGUGGACACUUGUGCUGUUUGAAGAGGUGAGUUUAGAGAAUCUGAAUCAGCAAGUGAAUGGAUGGGAUGAAGGACUGGACCACUGGUUACUGAUGCCGCAACAUACAUGAAAACAGUGAAAGACGUAGGAUCAGCAGAAGAAAGCCCCUUCUCCUCCCUGCUCAGUGAGUACAUCUUUCCUUUGCUUUUCUCAGCAACAGGUUGGUAACACUAAGGUUCUUCUAAAAUGUGAUGGUAUCAACUGUGUGUAGAUAAAGACCAAAAUACCCAAGAUUUAUUGCUGUGCCUACAGUUUCCAGUAAUCUCAGUUCUCAUUGCUAGACCAACAUCUUCAAACACGUCUUUGAAUUUAGGAGAUGAACUUUGUUAUCAGCGUGGGAUGAAUCACCACAGCUGAGCCUAUGCAGUUCUCAGGUAGUGCACCAAGAACUACAGGUGUUCGGGAUAUUUGAUAAGAUGUUACCUUCAUUUCAGUACCUAGGCAGCAGUGCAGAGAACUAACAUUAAGUAACAGGUUUUAGAAAUGUUAAGCCUCCUUUUAUAUUUAGUUCACAGGCAAACUGUCCACCAUGCCAUUUUAGUUUGGAUUAUUUUGGAGAAAAAAAAAAAAAGAAACUUGUGUUCUGCUAAUGACCAAAUUCACGUAGCAAAAAUAGCUUUUUAAUAUGGGACAAUAGA